GGCGGUAUAGCUUAGUUGGCUAGAGCGUUCGGUUCAUACCCGAAAGGUCAUAGGUUCGACUNGGUUUCCAGGGGAAGGUUCGUCCGCCCUGGGUUAGUCGGGACCUAAGCUGAGGCCGAAAGGCGUAGGUGAUGGACAACAGGUUGAUAUUCCUGUACUACCGAUAACCGUUUGAGAGAAGGGAUGACACAGUAGGAUAAGCUAAGCACACUGUUGGUUAUGUGUGCCCAAGCAUUGAGGCAGUCAAAGUAGGCAAAUCCGCUUUGAUAAUGCUGGGAUGUGAUGGGGAGCGAAAUUUAGUAGCGAAGUAGCUGAUUUCACACUGUCAAGAAAAGUCUCUAUCGAGGUUAAAGGUACCCGUACCGCAAACCGACACAGGUGGGUGAGGAGAGUAUCCUAAGGCCAGCGAGAGAACUGUUGUUAAGGAACUCGGCAAAAUGACCCCGUAACUUAGGGAUAAGGGGUGCCACCAUCAGGUGGCCGCAGAGAAUAGGCCCAAGCGACUGUUUACCAAAAACAUAGGUUUCUGCUAAGUCGCAAGACGAUGUAUAGGAGCUGACGCCUGCCCGGUGCUGGAAGGUUAAGGGGAUCUGUUAGAGCAAUCGAAGCAGUGAACUUAAGCCCCAGUAAACGGCGGCCGUAACUAUAACGGUCCUAAGGUAGCGAAAUUCCUUGUCGGGUAAGUUCCGACCCGCACGAAAGGCGUAACGAUUUGGGCACUGUCUCAACAACAGACUCGGUGAAAUUGUAAUUCCGGUGAAGAUGCCGGAUACCUGCGACAGGACGGAAAGACCCCAUGGAGCUUUACUGUAGCUUGACAUUGGGUCUUGGUACUACAUGUACAGGAUAGGUGGGAGGCUUUGAAACCAGGACGCCAGUUUUGGCGGAGCCAUCCUUGGGAUACCACCCUUGUAGUACUGGGACUCUAACCAUAGGCCAUGAAUCUGGUCUUGGGACACUGUCAGGUGGGCAGUUUGACUGGGGCGGUCGCCUCCCAAAAGGUAACGGAGGCGCUCAAAGGUUCUCUCAGUACGGUCGGAAAUCGUACGUAGAGUGUAAAGGCAAAAGAGAGCUUGAUUGCAAGACAUACAGGUCGAGCAAGGAUGAAAAUCGGACUUAGUGAUCCGGUGGUUCUGCGUGGAAGGGCCAUCGCUCAACGGAUAAAAGCUACCCUGGGGAUAACAGGCUUAUCUCCCCCAAGAGUCCACAUCGACGGGGAGGUUUGGCACCUCGAUGUCGGCUCAUCACAUCCUGGGGCUGUAGUAGGUCCCAAGGGUUGGGCUGUUCGCCCAUUAAAGUGGUACGCGAGCUGGGUUCAGAACGUCGUGAGACAGUUCGGUCCCUAUCCGUCGCAGGCGUAGGAAAUUUGAGAAGACCUGUCCUUAGUACGAGAGGACCGGGAUGGACGUACCUCUGGUGUACCAGUUGUCCUGCCAAGGGCAUGGCUGGGUAGCUAUGUACGGAAUGGAUAAGCGCUGAAAGCAUCUAAGCGCGAAGCCAACUUCAAGAUAAGAUUUCCCACCGCAAGGGUAAGACCCCAGAAAGACUAUCUGGUUGAUAGGUCGAAGGUGUAAGUGCAGUAAUGUAUUUAGCUUAUCGAUACUAAUAGGUCGAGGACUUGACCAA
rnacentral:rRNA from 1 species